rnacentral:rRNA from 1 species
AUGGAGUUGGGGUUCGGCGACACUAGCUUACUUGUAUCGACAGGUAUGAAGUUGUUUCCUUUUCACUUCAUUGAUACAUUAUCAAUGCGCUCUUGCGGCAAAUUUGACCAUGUUCUUUUUUAUGUGCAGUUGGACGAUGCCAGUUGUAGGCACACUGGAGGUAUUGGUGGUUGUCUGCUCGCACUUUCCAUAUGGAGCUGGGAGCGUUUGCCGGUUGGACGACCUAAGACCGUGAAGUACGAGGAUUGGGACGAUAAAGACGACCCACUACGGCUCCCCACUUGGGCUUACAAGUGGGAUGUGUUAAAUGAGACGACGGAUGAUCCCUCUAUAAUGUACAAGUUGUACAAGAGCGAGCUGGACGCGAUCACGCGUGAACCGACCUUGCAUAAGUGA